rnacentral:lncRNA from 1 species
AAAUUUUUCAACCCUUUAACGAAGUUAUGCAAGUACAAAGUUAAAGUUACAGUAGAUAACUUAGAUAUGAAAGAGCACUACAAAAUGUGGUUGGCAGUUCAUGCAUGUGGUAUUUGUUUGUGAAAAUAUUGAGCUAUAUAUGGACCACUUCCUAUAAAAACAAAUAACGAUGUUGCUUUAUUGCCACACAUUGACCUUCUGCUAAUCACAACCAGAUCCAAAAACACAUAUGAUUGCAUUAAUGUCUUUGAACACUAGAGGGAGAUAUAUUCACCUGCAAAUCAGGAAGAGGGAAACCUCCAGUUUUCUAUAGAAGCUACUCUUUUUAACACCAACUCAUAGAUUCUUUUAAAUGUUGAUAUUUUUGCAAUUAUCAAAAAAUAAAGUCAUACAUUAGAAAUGAAGAAAAUUCUAUAUAUUUGGAAAGUAACCCGACCUCUUUGUUACAUCAAGUCUUACUAAUAGGCUGUUUUAUAUAUGAUAAUGAUAUGCUAUAUUUUCAGGUGAUCCCUUUGUCAUUUUUUUCUAGUACAGUGUGAAGUUACAAUAUAUAAUCUAGCUAAUUUUUAUUUGGAUAAACAUCAUUUCUUCUUCCCUGGGAUUUGGCUCCAUGUAAGCCAAAGUGUCAAAGCUUUGAGAGACCUUUCGUCUAUGGGCUUGGCGAACGUGUUGUACUUCGUCACGUUCCUUGUUUCUCAGGUAGCUUAAAGGUCACUGGUACAGAGUUCAUUCUGAACUUUUUAUUUGCCCAGUAAAAUGCUUUUGAACUUUGCUUGGUAAUCACAUAGAUAUGUAGUGUUUUCAUGAUUGCUUGGGGCAACUGGAAAACUUUCUCUUUAUUUACUUCAGUAAUCAUUCCAAAGAACAUACUGUAAGAUGUCCUCUUUUCCUGAACAAAGGUUGAAUGAGAGUUCCAUCCAACAAUGCUUAGCCUAACAAAUACUUUGUUUGACCUUGUAACUAAUUUAAUGAGUCUUCUUUUCUGUGAUUUCAAGACUGAAAUGAUUCUGGUAAUUGAAGAAAAAGUGACCUUUCUCUAGUGUAGGACUUUGGUGUAGGAAAAGAGGCUAUUUUCUGGAAUCAAGCUGGUGUGAAUCCUGUUUGUCUCUACCUGUUGGUGAAGGUGAGUACGUUGCUUGACAUCUCUAAACUGCCUUUUUUAUCUCUGUAAUCAAGAUCACAACCCUUUAGAAUUGUUGGAGGGAUUGAUUCACAUGAAGUAUGAAAAGCACCCAGUUUAGUUCCAAGUACAAGGCAGUUAUUUCAAGUUCCCUGGACCUUCUUUUUUCUUUCCAUCUGAAAUGCUUUAUACAAUGACCCUGUAAAUCACAUGUGCAUAGAUUAUGUGCCCUGAAGUUAUUUGUCAAGUGCUGAUGAUAAGUACAGAAUGUGACUUCAGCCACAUUUGCAAGGCAAUCCUGUCAGAGUAGAGUAGGGUCAGAGUUGUAUUGCCCUAUGCUCUGUAUGAUAAGGCCAGAUACCUGACCUCCCCAAGGUCCCAUAUGGUUCAUGAUCAACCACUCCAAAAUAUGGGCUUGGGAGCAGAGAAAAAAGGAGGCAACUAGAAGUUAGGCAAGGGCUGUUGUCCCUAAAAGAAAGGAAUAACUUCCUCUUUCCCUUUCACAAAUGUAAAUUCCUCCUCCCCACCUCCAGAAAAGUCCAGUUCAAAUCCUACUUUCCCCAGAAGAUGUUUCCAGCCUAAGUAAAUUCACUUCUCUAAACACCUGAAACAUUUAUCCAAUUUAAUCAUCUGGCAAUGCUUGCUUUUCAUUCCUUCUUUGCCACAUGGUUUACAUGUCUCCCUAGCCAGGGAGGUUCUUGUAAGGCAGAAAUCUGACCAAUUUUGAGUUUUUUACUUUAGCAUAUUUCAUGGUGCUCUAUAUGAAGUAGACAUUGAAUACAAACUUGAAUGUAUUUCCAUGUCAAUUUUCCUCCUUUGUCAUAUACAGUUUGAUAAUAAAAUACAACAGGUAAUCAUUUUUCUGUUAUAUGCAGUUUGAUAAUAAAACACAAUGGGUAAUCAUUUUUCUGCUUGUUGGGAAAACAUAUAACGGCAGCAGCACCCCAGAGAAAAACCCCAACAUGGCGUCUAACGACCCUCUUUCUCCUCUUUGUUUCUUUCACUGGCGCUAAACAUUCCCGCCGGCGACAACGUUCAAACCCUGCUGGUGGGAAGCCUUAGCCCCAAUUAGAAUUAACUUCUUGGGCUCCGGAACUGACAUAUGGAAGAGCUUGCCAGUAAACGGGCGACCUGUUAUCUACCUCAGCCCUGCGACCUCUCCUGAGACCUAUAUAAACACACAGCCUUUUGUAAUAAAG